GCUGGCUCCGGGGACAGGAGAGGGUAUUGGCCAGCAGAAGUGAGACGUGGACAAAAGGCGGGACUGGGGAGGGACCUCUAGCCUCGGCCGUCCUCCGACCCGUGAACUUGAGACCUGAAAACUACCGGUCCCAGCGUGCACUGCUCCCUCCUCGGAGCUCUCGCAGUUGGAUCCGCCGGGCUAAAAUUCCGGGGUGGGCGCGCUGCACCCUGGGACAUGUGGUUCUCCGAGGGGCACGGGCGGUUCCUGCGAUCUGGCUUUCCCUGGCGUCUUGCACCAGCCCUCCCUUUGUGGGUUGCAUAGUUCCCAGGAACCUGUCAGCUCUUUAGCCUUUUUCCUGCAAAUACAUUUCCGUGAGUGCCGGCUAGAUGAGGCUCACAUGGCCUCAGGUCCGUGCUGCACGCCAUAAGGAAUAGUAGUCCCUAAAUGCAUACGCUUUUGGAGUUGUCCUCUGCCCUCACCGAGAUUGCAAAACGUUAAAGGCAAAAAUGAAUCGAGCCUUUGACGGCAGUGUGCUGAGAGUUUUCCUUGUAAUCGCUCAUGUACUCUUGGCAACUUUAAUUGCAGCUGAGCUGCCUUUCUGGAAAGUUUCUUCCUUGAUUUCUAUCACCUUGCAUCAUCUGCUUUCCUCUCAGACGGACCAUUCAGGUAAACAACCCCUUCCAUGGAGUGAAUGGAAAGAUAAUGCUUCUCUUUACUUCAGUGUCCCUCCUUCUGCCUGAAAAAGCAAUUAUUCUGGAAGCAUGUGCGUGUCAAUUGGAUUACAUUACCUGGGAGGUGGGCUAAAAACAUCAUCUGGCUAAAAUGUUUGCAGAAAUACCAUUAACCCGCUGCCAUUGUGGAUUGUUAGCUUGAGAUCAACCCAAUGACUUUCCACUUGCAAUCCUUUUAUGUUUAUAAAGAUUCCAUAAACACCGUAUUGUGUCAUUUUAAUACUAACAAUUCAACCUCCCCCCCCCAAAGUAGUAAAAGCCUGUUUUUUCUAAGUUAAAAUUAAAAAGUCCCUAUGUCUUUGAAGGAGACAGUCUCAUAUAGUAUAAAGAUGGUAAAAAAUAAAAGUCUUGAUCAUAGUUCGCAUGAUAGUGAGGAUGACGCCAAACCCUUUCAUUAGUUAUGGUAUAAGCCCAGAGGCUGUGAGAAAGAGAUCCCAAAUACAGUGACUUACACAAGAGAGAAAGUUGUUUCUCUCCCAGUCUCCCAAGUAAUAUUCACAAGCAGGUGGGUGAUUCAGUCCCAAUGAACAAUUCUACUCCACGAAGUCAUUCAGGAACUCAGGUUGCUAUUCUGUCCCCUGAUAGGCAUCUCUAUGUUAGAAGGUGGUUCACUAGCACCACAUAAACAUUCUAGCUGCCAUGAAGGGUAGAGAGAUGGAGGAGAGAAAGUAGUUUCCUUCAUAAAGAAUGGACAAGGAAGCUGCAUGCAUCACUUAAUGCUCACAUCUCAUUGGAAAGGAGUUAUUCAGCCUGUUACACCAAGCUGCAAGGAAGGCUGAGAUUUUUUUGCCUUUAAUUGGGCAGCCAUGUGCCCAGCUUAAACUCAGAAGAUCCUAUUACUAGAAAGGAGAAGAGGAUAACAAAUAGAGCGCCAAUUUGGCACUUGGCAGUCUGUACCAAACUCCUGUUUGGGUGUUUUUACAGUCAUGAUGAUACUUAUAGUGAAGAUGCAAGUACGAGUUUUUCAGUUUGUUUGUUUUAUGGCCACAUCCAUGGCAUGUGGAAGUAUUCAGGCUAGAGGCUGAAUCCAAGCUGCAGCUACGACCUGUGCCACAACUGUGGCAACACCAGAUCC